GACGAACCGUGCGAACGUUGUUCGGAAUCACUGGGCUUAAAGGGUGCGUAGGCGGGUUGUCCAGUCUGGGGUGAAAUCCCACGGCUCAACCGUGGAAUUGCCUCAGAUACUGACGACCUCGAGGGAGGUUGGGGCGAGCGGAACUGUGGGUGGAGCGGUGUAAAGCGUUGAUAUCCACAGGAACUCCGGUGGCGAAGGCGGCUCGCUGGACCUCUUCUGACGCUGAGGCACGAAAGCUAGGGGAGCAAACGGG
rnacentral:rRNA from 1 species